AGACCCGCAGCGGAAAGCUCAGUAACACGUGGCCAAGCUACCCUGGGACGGGAAUACUCUCGGGAAACUGAGGCUAAUCCCCGAUAACGCUUUGCUCCUGGAAGGGGCAAAGCCGGAAACGCUCCGGCGCCACAGGAUGCGGCUGCGGUCGAUUAGGUAGACGGUGGGGGUAACGGCCCACCGUGCCCAUAAUCGGUACGGGUUGUGAGAGCAAGAGCCCGGAGACGGAAUCUGAGACAAGAUUCCGGGCCCUACGGGGCGCAGCAGGCGCGAAACCUUUACACUGUACGAAAGUGCGAUAAGGGGACUCCGAGUGUGAAGGCAUAGAGCCUUCACUUUUGUACACCGUAAGGUGGUGCACGAAUAAGGACUGGGCAAGACCGGUGCCAGCCGCCGCGGUAAUACCGGCAGUCCGAGUGAUGGCCGAUCUUAUUGGGCCUAAAGCGUCCGUAGCUGGCUGAACAAGUCCGUUGGGAAAUCUGUCCGCUUAACGGGCAGGCGUCCAGCGGAAACUGUUCAGCUUGGGACCGGAAGACCUGAGGGGUACGUCUGGGGUAGGAGUGAAAUCCUGUAAUCCUGGACGGACCGCCGGUGGCGAAAGCGCCUCAGGAGAACGGAUCCGACAGUGAGGGACGAAAGCUAGGGUCUCGAACCGGAUUAGAUACCCGGGUAGUCCUAGCUGUAAACGAUGUCCGCUAGGUGUGGCGCAGGCUACGAGCCUGCGCUGUGCCGUAGGGAAGCCGAGAAGCGGACCGCCUGGGAAGUACGUCUGC
rnacentral:rRNA from 1 species